AGCCAAGAGGGAGCUCUCCUUCCUUCCCACCCCUCAGCCCCUGCCCCAGUUGGCUCACCAUGUUGUUACCCCUCUCUGCCCGCUGCUGCUUGCCUUCUCAAGCACAGUGCUUUAUUAGAAGAGAACUUCCCUCGAAGAGAAAGGAAAACCUUCUUCAGUUGAGGGUGAAUAAAUAGCUGCAUUUUCUGCUAAAACAUCCCAGCAAGCUUUCAAGUUAGCAACAUGUUGCCCUUAACCAAGUUUACAAAACCCAGGAUACCUUUUUAUGUUUUGCAAAUUGCAGCAAAUCAAACACUGA
rnacentral:sRNA from 1 species